AUGUUCUCUACAUCUCUACUGCUCCUGCUGGCAGCUACUUCUUAUGUGUGUUGCAUCAGUCUGACCUCGUCUCCUGAUGAGGUUAAACCUCCUGGAGCCUCCAUGAAGUUGUCCUGUCAGAUUUCUGGCUAUGCCCUCACUGACUAUGGAACAGUCUGGAUCAAGCAAGCUCCAGGAAAAGCCUUCGAGUGGAUCGGGAUCAUAUGGGGUGAUGGAAGCAUAAACUAUGGAGCUUCCUUUAAAACUCGUUUCAGCAUCUCCAGAGACACAAGCAACAAUGUGCUUUACUUAGAUAUCAGCAGCCUGGUGUCAGAGGACACGGCUGUUUACUACUGUGCAAAGACAGACACAGCUGUACAGCUCAGUGCAAGGGAUUCUUAUGGACAGUCCCUGACCUCAUCUGCUUCUGUGGUGAAGAAACCAGGAGAAUCGGUCACUCUGUCCUGCACCGUGUCUGGACUCUCCCUUAGCUGGUUGCACUGGAUCCAAAACCAGGACAUGGACUGCAGUGGAUCCACUGGCCCCUCGUCUAGCUUUUAUACGGCAGGUUUUUGCAGUGAUGAGAUCAGACUGGACCAGUCUCCUGCUGUGGUAAAGAGACCUGGAGAAACUGUGAAGAUCUCUUGUUUUAUGUGUUCAGGAGUCCACAUGAGAUCAAAUGUCUCAGCUCUCAUAAAUAGAGAACCAAAACUACAGGAAUUAGAGGUGUAA